UACGGGGGGUGCGAGCGUUGUCCGGAAUCACUGGGCGUAAAGGGCGCGUAGGUGGUUUGAUAAGGGUGUGGUGAAAGCCCGGGGCUCAACCCCGGGUCUGCCGUGCCGACUGUCAAACUCGAGGGCUGUAGAGGCAGACGGAAUUCCGGGUGUAGCGGUGGAAUGCGUAGAGAUCGGAGGAAGACCGGUGGCGAAGGCGGUCUGCUGGGCAGUUUCUGACACUGAGGCGCGAAAGCGUGGGGAGCGAACGAGGA
rnacentral:rRNA from 1 species